rnacentral:rRNA from 1 species
GAGUUUGAUCUUGGCUCAGGACGAACGCUGGCGGCGUGCUUAACACAUGCAAGUCGAGCGGAAAGGCCCUUCGGGGUACUCGAACGGCGAACGGGUGAGUAACACGUGAGUAACCUGCCCUGGACUUUGGGAUAACCCUCGGAAACGGGGGCUAAUACCGGAUAUGACCUUGAGGCUCGCAUGGGCUUGGGUGGAAAGUUUUUCGGUCUGGGAUGGGCUCGCGGCCUAUCAGCUUGUUGGUGGGGUGAUGGCCUACCAAGGCGACGACGGGUAGCCGGCCUGAGAGGGCGACCGGCCACACUGGGACUGAGACACGGCCCAGACUCCUACGGGAGGCAGCAGUGGGGAAUAUUGCACAAUGGGCGAAAGCCUGAUGCAGCGACGCCGCGUGA